rnacentral:rRNA from 1 species
CCUACGGGAGGCAGCAGUGGGGAAUAUUGCACAAUGGGGGAAACCCUGAUGCAGCGACGCCGCGUGAGUGAAGAAGUAUUUCGUUAUGUAAAGCUCUAUCAGCAGGGAAGAAAAUGACGGUAACUCAGUAAUAAGCCCCGGCUAACUACGUCCCAGCAGCCGCGGUAAUACGUAGGGGGCAAGCGUUAUCCGGAUUUACUGGGUGUAAAGUGAGCGUAGACGGCGGUGCAAGUCUGGAGUGAAAGGCGGGGGCGCAACCCCCGGACUGCUCUGGAAACUGUACGGCUGGAGUGCAGGAGAGGUAAGUGGAAGUCCUAGUGUAGCGGUGAAGUGCGUAGAUAUUAGGAGGAACACCAGUGGCGAAGGCGGCUUACUGGACUGUAACUGACGUUGAGGCUCGAAAGCGUGGGGAGCAAACAGGAUUAGAUACCCGUGUAGUC